GCUACCAACCAAGGUGGCAACAUAAAUGAGAUGAGUCCUAAGUUUCUUUUCACCUGUUAUAUUCAAUAAUUGUAGUUUUAAAAGUAGCUCUCUAAAAAUAUGUUUUAAAUUCAAGUUGGCUCUUCUUUUAAUGUCUGGGUUACCUAAAACCAUCUCUUCUGUUUGUUUGUUCCUUAACAAACUCCACCCAGUUGUUUCUCCAAAAACUUACAUUAAGUUUUUGGUCUCCAAGCCAGAUUAUAUGUCACUACCUGUUAUGCAUCCUGCAACUCCCUCACACAUCCUAGGUUAUGCUGGUCCCUGAGUUUUAAUGGCCCUAUUACUAUAAAAGCUUUGACCACACUACAUUAUGACUUGUUGGCCAUAUUUCUGACCCACUCAGUUGUGUGCUUUUGAAGAAAGAAAUAAUGCCCUUUCCAUAUUCUCAGCCGCAGCAUUAAUUCAGUACUUAGUUUCUAGUGUGGGCUUUACAAAUGCUAAGUGACUACAUAGAUUAUUACUCCUUUUAUUUCAGUGAAGUGGAAAAGAUUAUCAAUAACAAGUCCCUACAUUUGUUCAUUCUCAUCUCAACAAAAUUUUGCAUCUACUCCUAUGAUAUUGGACUAGAUAGUACAAAUAGAAUCCAGCAGCAUGUUACGAGACUGUAUUAAUCCAUUCUUGCAUUGCUAUAAAGAAAUACCUGAGAAUGGGUAAUUUGUAAAGAGGUUUAAUUGGCUCACAGAUCUGCACGCUAUAUAGGAAGCAUAGCGGCUUCUGCUUCUGGGGAGGCUUCAGAAACCUUACAAUCAUGGCAGAAGGCAAAGGGGAAGCAGGCACAUUUUACACAGCCAAAGCAUGAGAAGAGAGAGAUGAGGAAGAUGCUACACACUUUUAAACAACCAAUCCUCACAAGAACUCAGUAUCAUGAGAACAGCACCAAGAGGAUGAUGCUAAACCAUUCAUGAGAACUCCGCCCCAUGAUUCCAUCAGGUCCCACCUCCAACACUGCAGACUACAAUUUGGCAUGAGAUUUGGUGGGGAUACAGAUACAAAUCAUAUCAUCCCACCCGCGGCCCCUCCAAAUAUCAUGUCCCCACACUGCAAAAUACAAUCAUCCCUUCUCAACAGUUCCCCAAAGUCUUAACUCAUUCCAACAUUUACUCAAAAGUCUGAAGUCCAAACUCUUAUCUGAGAUAAAGAAAGUCACUUAUAAGGCUGUAAGAUAAAAAAAAAAAAAAAAAAAAAAAAAAAAAA
rnacentral:lncRNA from 1 species